rnacentral:rRNA from 1 species
UACGAAGGGGGCUAGCGUUGCUCGGAAUCACUGGGCGUAAAGCGCACGUAGGCGGCUUGUUAAGUCAGGUGUGAAAUCCUGGAGCUCAACUCCAGAACUGCCUUUGAUACUGGCGAGCUUGAGUCCGGGAGAGGUGAGUGGAACUGCGAGUGUAGAGGUGAAAUUCGUAGAUAUUCGCAAGAACACCAGUGGCGAAGGCGGCUCACUGGCCCGGUACUGACGCUGAGGUGCGAAAGCGUGGGGAGCAAACAGG